AGUGAACGCUGGCGGUAGGCCUAACACAUGCAAGUCGAACGGCAGCACAGUAAGAGCUUGCUCUUACGGGUGGCGAGUGGCGGACGGGUGAGGAAUACAUCGGAAUCUACUUUUUCGUGGGGGAUAACGUAGGGAAACUUACGCUAAUACCGCAUACGACCUACGGGUGAAAGCAGGGGAUCUUCGGACCUUGCGCGAUUGAAUGAGCCGAUGUCGGAUUAGCUAGUUGGCGGGGUAAAGGCCCACCAAGGCGACGAUCCGUAGCUGGUCUGAGAGGAUGAUCAGCCACACUGGAACUGAGACACGGUCCAGACUCCUACGGGAGGCAGCAGUGGGGAAUAUUAGACAAUGGGCGCAAGCCUGAUCCAGCCAUACCGCGUGGGUGAAGAAGGCCUUCGGAUUGUAAAGCCCUUUUGUUGGGAAAGAAAAGCAGCAGGUUAAUACCCCGCUGUUCUGACGGUACCCAAAGAAUAAGCACCGGCUAACUUCGUG
rnacentral:rRNA from 1 species